CGAAUCUUUGUACUCUUCUUCGCUUUGCCUCGCUCUGCACGCACGGCCACCCAUCGUCGUCUCCAGUCUCCACCCCUCUUCUUCCUCCAUUGGUGGUGUACGCUUGCCUCCGUCUCAGCUUCGUUUUCAGAUGUCUCCUCGUCGUCGAAGCCGGGAGAAAUUAACCGUGCGUGUUUGCCAUGAUCGAUUGUUUUGUCCAGCAAUUUGAGCGAACAGUAAAGAAUUACUGAGCCAUGUCAGAGUGUGUUCUGAACUUCUUGUUGGAAGAGCAGCGAGGCGCUGUGGAUGAGGAUCGAUUUUAAUGAUGAAUCCAUUAUUAUUGGCUUCGAUUAAUCCACUCGAGUGUGGAAGUUAAUGAUGUCCUCUUAAUCUGUGACACACGUCACCUGGAACAGCCUUUCCACAUUCAAAUUUGGGACAAUUUGCAACUUCAGAGUUCAGACUUCAUGCCAUGGAGGAGAAACGUCCAGAGGUAUUCCGGCUAGUUUUAUAAGGUCAUGAGAUAAUUAUAUAGAAUCCGGCAGCAGUUUUUCGAGUUGAAAAAUUGAACUAGAAAUUCCUGGAGAGGCCACAUUUUACGUGAGAGUGAGACACGGCGGCGGCGGCAAACCCCGGCAGGCCGGCAAAGCGGCAGCGGCGGCGAGGUCACCUACACCGUCCGAUCGGAUACGCGCGGUUCAGAUUGGGAACAGUUGAGAUUUUAGAGGGAACCAGGUUUAUUAUUGAUGGGAAUAAUCACAUUUCAUGCUGAUACAAAAGAAUGGCGACAGCAUAAGGCCGUGAUACGGUAACAACAUUUACACUCAUACGGGUACAUCAGUUUGUGCAUUUCUGCCCUGGGACGCUUCUGUCCAAGGCGCGCACCAAAUACCUCAUCAAUUUUCUUCCGUAUUGUUCACUUAUUCUGCUUAGAGCAGAAGUUUUCUCAGGAAGUCUUCGGAGAUGCUAUUCUAAAACCAUCAUCUCCACAGUACUGAGGAGACAUGAAAAUACCAGGUCUCCUCGACGGCUCUGAGAGUAAUUUACAUGAGUUUUGUUUCUGCAGAUUAAAGCAACAUAGCUCGGUUAAGUGUUUGCUACAAUUUCAGAAACACUCUGGAUGGUAUUUUGAUGUAGUUCUUGAAACCUACCUUAUGAUUCGAUUGCUGCGACCCUUACUGGCUUCAUUACUUUUACAAUGUUCCUCAUAUGCUCAAACCCCAUCAGUAUCACUCCUAUGACAUAAAGAAAGCUUAGUUGCAGCUUGGCAAGUAAGUUAUAGACUGCUAUUGCGGCAUUUCCCCCAUCA